rnacentral:rRNA from 1 species
UACGUAGGGUGCAAGCGUUGUCCGGAAUUAUUGGGCGUAAAGAGUGUGUAGGCGGCCCGAUUAGUCCGCUGUGAAAGUCCAGGGCUCAACCCUGGAAUGCCGGUGGAUACUGUCGGGCUAGAGUCCGGAAGGGGCGAGUGGAAUUCCUGGUGUAGCGGUGAAAUGCGUAGAGAUCGGAAAGAACACCAACGGCGAAAGCACUCUGCUGGGCCGACACUGACACUGAGAGACGAAAGCUAGGGGAGCGAAUGGG